GGGCUCACUUUGGCAGUACAUAUACCAAAACUGGAAUGAUACACAGAAGAUUAGCGUGGCCACUGUACAAAGAAGACACAUAAAUUUAUAAAGUAUUGCAUAUUUUU
ensembl:snRNA Gm25879 U6 spliceosomal RNA